rnacentral:misc_RNA from 1 species
AUUAAUCAUUUUGAUGCAUCUCCUUUGAAAGGAGUGGUAAAAAAUGGUAAAUACGAUGGUGAUGCUAGAAAUAAGGUGUUUGUGGAUUGUUAUGUUUUCCCUUUAAUAAUUUGAUAAUGAAUUUUAUGUUUAACACUGGUUAAUGUUCAUCGGAAUACAAUGAACGGUUGGAAUUGUGUGAACGAAUUGGAGAGUUAUGGUAUAGCUAUAUAUAACUUCAAUGAUCCGGAUGAAGCUAAAUUAACUCUAACUGUUGGUGAUUCUUUAUGCAUUUUACAAGAAGAAGCAGACUGGUAUUAUGGAUAUGUCACCAAUCGACGAAACACAUUGGGUAUAUUUCCCAAAAGCUAUGUUCAUAUCAAAAAAUGCGAAAGAAUUGAUCCUACAGGACCUGUUUUUAAAGAUCCCCCCAUUAGUCAAGAGAUAACCUCGGUUUUAAGGGAAUGGGGGGCUCACUGGAAGGCCUUAUAUAUUGCACAUGAUGAGAAUUUUGAGAAAAUGAAAACAAAUAUAUACGAUCUAAUAUUCUUAAGAAGUAAAAUAGUGAGCGGGACUUUGCCAAUAGAUGAAUUAAGGAGGCUUACGAGGGAGGCGGCUGAAGAAAUCGAUAUGGGAAAUAAACUACUCGGUUUAGAUAUGGUUGUAAGGGAUAAAAACGGAAAUCUUAUUAAUCCAGACAAAAGUAGUACAUUACAGAUGUUCUAUCUUCAUAAAACUGCUACAGAAAGGUUAAAUAAAGCUAAGGAGAGUGUAAAGAAUGCGCCACCAAAAACAGCAAUCCAACAGUAUUCAAACAUAUUUUUAGUGGCUGUAAGGAAUUUUACGUUUAAAAUGUCCGAAGAUGCUGAACUUUUGAUGGCCCUGUACGAUGCCAAAGAGUACAAACCUAUAACGGAAAGUUAUGUAGUACGGUGGACUAAAGAGGGACUCAUGAGUGAUCUAGAUCAAAUGUAUAACUUGAGGGUGAUGUUUACAGAUUUGGGUAAAAAGGACUUGGAAAAAGAAAAAAUCUUUCUUAUUUGUCACGUGGUAAGGGUGGGAUCGAUGGAUAUAAAGGAAGUUGACCACAGAAGGAGUUCAAUGAGCGUGACAAGUAAGAAAAACCCUUAUGAGAACAUGCGUAGGCCUUGUGGAGUAGCUGCAAUGGAUAUAACGAAUUAUAUUAAUGGAAAAUUGGAUACAGACUUGGAUCAGGAAUUUUCAGUGCCUUUUGUUAGCUGUGAGAAAGAUAAUUUAGAUCAAACCCUGAGGAAGAUUAUCAGCAAAGAAAAAUUGGAGAACAAGAAUCAAGCAUUGUUUGUGAGCAUGAAGCUUCUUAGAGGUGAUUUAAAGCAGGUAAGGGAUGAAAAUCCGCACUUGGUGCUGGGAAAUGUGUCUAGGGCUAGGAAAAUGGGGUUUUCCGAGGUGAUUUUGCCUGGAGACGUUAGGAACGACCUUUACCUGACUCUGCUCAACGGAGAGUUCACUAAAGGUAGUAAAACCAGUGAUAAAAAUGUGGAGGUUGUGGUGAAGGUUUGCAACGAAAAAGGACAACAAAUACCGGAAGUUAUAAGCCUAGGAGGUGGUGUUUCUGAAUUGAGUGAAUACAGAUCAGUUAUAUACUACCACGAAGACAAACCACAAUGGUUUGAAACGUUCAAAAUAGCCCUAAGAAUAGAAGAAUUCAAAUCGAGUCACCUAAAGUUCACUUUCAAGCAUCGCUCAACGAACGAGGCCAAAGAUAAAAACGAGAAACCUUUUGCCAUGGCUUAUUUGAAGCUGAUGCAAGAAAAUGGCGUGACAUUGCCUGAUGCCCAACACAGCCUGAUCGUCUACAAAAUCGACUACAAAAAGUUCGACGAAACAGGCUUGGAUUACCUGAAAUUACCCUGUUUUGUCACGGAGAUCAAAGACGGGCAAAAAGUUCAGAUUCCCGGUCUUACAGCGAACUUGAAGGAUUGUUUUAAUAUUUCUAUCAAUAUUUGUUCUACUAAGCUCACGCAAAACGUAAAUCUUUUGGGUCUAUUGAAUUGGACUACCCACAAAGAGACCGUGUCCAAAUCUUUAGAGGAUUUCAUGCAAGUGGACAACAACGAGGUUGUGAAAUUUCUCCAGGACAUCUUGGACGCCCUAUUUUGCAUUCUGAUGGACACUACAGAGAGCAGCCGGUACGACAUCAUGGUCUUUGAGUGUUUGCUGCGCAUCAUCAAUUUGGUCACCACAGAUUUCCAGUACUUGCACUUCGAGCCUGUGCUCGACGUGUACGUCAAAGAGAGUUUUAGCGCAACCCUGGCUUACAGAAAGCUGAUCAUAAUCCUGAAAAUGGUGAUCAACAAAACGGUGUCCAGUUGGAACAACGAAAAAUUAAUACUACAAACCAUGAAAGGAUUACAGUAUAUCAUGAGAUUCGUGGCGAGAUCCAGGAUUUUAUUCCUGGAAGUCUACCAGGAAAUCAACCCCGACGAUGAUUUUGUUCAGAGCAUGAGAGAACUCUUGCACGACAUCAUCUACUUGAUGUCCAUGGAAGAGAAAGAAUUCCUUUUGGACCAAGGAGCCUGUUUGAAGUACCUGCCCACCAUCAUCCCGGAAAUCUUGCUUAUUUUUGACAGAUGCGAGUUCAGCAAAUUGUUGUGCGAAUUUUUGAACAACCUGCCCCAAGGAAGACUGACCAAGCAGAAAAUGAUGACCAUCAACGAUAUAGUGCACAGCAAACUGUUCCAGUAUCCUGAAUGUAGGGAGGUUAUGUUACCGAUGAUAACCAGGCAAGUUAAAGAGUUGAUUGAGGCCAAAGAUGAGGGUGUUGCGAUGCGGCAAGAUGGUCGGAGACAAAACAAAUCCGUGGCCAAGGUCGCUCAGCUGCUUGGAACGUCCAAACAUUGCGUCACUGAACACGUGGGAUACUCAGAAGAGGUGGAGCUUUGCAUCAAGAUACUGAGUGACAUGAUGGAAUUGCUCUUUCGCAAGGAUAUCGGAUCUACUUUCAAGGACAUUACGCAGAUUAUUAACACUGAUUUGAGGACUAUUAUUCAGAGUCAUAUCAAAAUGGACAGAGACCAUCCACAAGCGAGUCAGUUGGUUGCAGUAAUGCUAGACGUGUUCAGACAAAUGACUCCAGAACACUAUUCGAACUACAUCCAGAAAUUCCUGACUAGUUUCGACGUCUUGGACUUCCUCAUGGAAAUCCUCGUAGUUUUCAAAGAACUGGUCAGCAAUUCUGCCUUUCCCAGAGACUGGUGCGACAUGGUACUGCUCCAGAACCAUACCAUCCUGAAAUCUUUAAGAUUCUUCUCUCACACCAUCAGAGAUUGUUUUUUCUCAAAAUUUGAGCACGAUGCCUGGAGUAAUUUCUUCCAUUGUGCCAUAGCUUUCAUGACCCAAGAUGCCUUGCAAUUGGAAAGAUUUUCUUUUAACAAGCGAACGAGAAUAGUGAACCAAUACAGCGACAUGCGUCGUGAAAUGGGCUUCGAAAUUCGGUCUAUGUGGUUCAAUUUGGGUCAGCACAAGGUUCAUUUUGUACCGUCUUUAGUGGGACUGAUCCUGGAAAUGACCUUGAUCCCUGAGCCUGAAUUAAGGAAGGCUACCAUUCCCAUAUUCUUCGACAUGAUGCAGUGUGAGUUUUACUCUUCUCGUCUUGAGGAUGAGAGCUUUGGGGACACGAAACGUGAUUCCAGUCAUACUAAGGCGAAUUUUGAUGAUUUCGAGAACGAGAUGAUCGUGAAGUUAGACGCGUUGUUUGAAGGUGGGCGUGGUGAUGCCGAUUAUAGGCGUCUUUUUCACGAUAUCAUGUUCAAACUUUGUGAUCAGCACACUUCAAUGAAGGAGGAAGGUGUGAAGUUUGUGCUGAUUGUGUCAAGGUUGAUGGAGAGUCUUUUGGAGUACAGGAAUAUACUGUCUGAUGAGAAUAAGGAGAAUACCAUGAGUUGUACCGUGAAUUUGUUGGAUUUCUAUUCGGAAAUCAACAAAAAGGAGAUGUAUAUUCGCUACAUGAACAAACUCGUCGACUUGCACAUAGAGUGUGAAAACUACACAGAAGCAGCCUUUGCUUUAGAACUCCACACGAAACUACUCAGAUGGUCAGACGAAUCUCUUCCAUUACUUUUCAGCAAAUUUGCCGUAAAUGCCAAGACGCACAGGCAACUAAAGACGGCCCUGUAUAAUCAGAUCAUCGGAAACUUCAAUAACGGAAAGAUGUGGGAAUAUGCUAUAGAAAAAUGUAAGGAACUAGCACAGCAAUAUGAACAAGAAACCUUCGACUAUGAAGAACUGAGUCAGCUUCAUAAUCAGCUGUCUAAAUUCUAUGAUAACAUCAUGAAAGUAGCAAGACCGGAACCGGAGUAUUUCAGGGUGGGGUACUUUGGCAGGGGAUUCCCACAAUUCCUCCAAAACAAAGUUUUUAUAUACAGGGGUAAAGAAUACGAGAGACUGCAAGAAUUCAACGGCAGAAUCAUGAACGAGUUUCCGAAAGCUCAGUUGCUGAAUAAACUGACACCCCCUGGCGAUGACAUCAAGAAUUCGGACAAACAAUACGUCCAGAUCAAUAAAGUGGACCCAGUGAUGGAGGAAAAGAAGCAAAGAUUUUCCGGUAAACCGGUGUGCGAGCAGAUAGUCAAAUUCUACAGGGUGAACAACAUAAAAAAGUUCACGUUUUCGAGGCCUUUCAGUAGGAAGGACCCUUUCAUAGAAACGGAUAAUGAGUUUGCCCACUUGUGGCUCGAAAGAACGGAGCUUGUGACGACAUAUCCGCUUCCUGGUAUUCUCAGGUGGUUCCCGGUGGAAAGUAUGACAGUUAAAGAGAUUUCUCCAUUGAGAAACGCCAUAGAAACCUUGGAGAGUAAGAAUAAAGUACUUGCGGGUUAUGUUACUAGUUAUAACAGGGAUGAGAACAUGCAGAUCAAUCCUUUGAGCAUGACAUUAAAUGGUAUAUUAGACGCCGCAGUUAUGGGAGGCGUCAAAAACUACGAAGACGUCUUUUUUCAUCCUGACUACUUGGUGCACCAUCCCGAUGAUGAAGUGCUUGUUAAUAGACUGAAAGACCUGAUUGCUGACCAGAUUCCUCUGUUGGAUCUGUGUGUACAGAUUCACAAGCAGAAAGCGCCAGGAAACUUGCAACCGCUUCAGAAGAGAUUGGAGGAGUGUUUUGAAGUGUUUAGAAGUGAUGUUGAGAAGAAAUACGGCAAAAGAGAUUGUGAUGUAAAGUUACAAAACGACGUCCUAAUGCGAAGACACCACAGCACGGCCAGUGAUACUAGAUUAUCCGACGUCACCAUAACCCCUGAAAGGAAACGACUUAGCAAGCUGACCCUAACCCAUAACCGACAAGCGUCGUCUCUAGCUUAACACUAUAGUUUAACCAUUUUAUUAAAUUAGAUUUAUAACCUAUUAAUAACUAACGUCCGCACACUAACACAAUCCAGGACGAACCUAGGGUUUUUCGUUCCCAACGCCGAUCGUCUCAACUGAACUACACCAAAAGCCUGAUACUGUCGCCGUCGAAAAGUUUGACGGGAACGCCGGUGAGUCACAAGAAGUCGCACAAACUGUCGACGAAAAGGAGGCGGAGCAAGCCGGAACAAUCGUU